rnacentral:piRNA from 1 species
AUUCCAAUUAUGCCAAUAAGUCAGU